rnacentral:lncRNA from 1 species
CCAUUCUUCAUGUGCUGAGGUCCUAGGGUUCUGAGGGGUUCUCAUGCAAGCCAAGGAGUUCAACUCACUAGAAUUCUCUGGACAUGGGGGCAGGUUUUUGGAGGCAACUGGAAGUGGAGGAAAAUGGUUGUCAACUCAAACUGCUCCCAAAUAGCAAUGCCCACCAAGGGAGAAUGGACUUUAAGGGAGAAACAGUCUUGGACCACGUGCUGUGCUGACUGGCAGGUGAAGGCACGCCGAUCCGCCUUCUCCCUCUGGGAUCUGGCAGUUAAAGUUGCAGGUAUUGUCCCUUGGAUCCAUCAUACGAGGGUGAAGAGAACAUGCCACGCAGAUCCAAAAAACACUGAGUGGACUGCACAGAGGGACCCCGCUGACCCUCGAGAGACAAAGACCAUCCUGAAGAAGGAGGAAAAGAAGAUCCUGGACGAGCCCCUUCAGGAUGAAGCCGCACAAUCAACUCCUGCUGCUUGGCCUCAUCAACGUAAUUUUGAAUUUAACUUCCCUUUCAACUCAGGACAAUGUUUUCAUCUCAUGGGCACCUUCCUACGCAGACUUCCACAACACUUCCAACUGCUGGGCAGAUCUUAGGACCACAGACCAUUCAUCCAUCAACAGACAAGAGAAUAGAGAUGAGGAGAGAAAGGUCUCCUCUCCAAGGAACUUCCUGACAAACACACAGAUGUCUACCGUGCAGCGGAGGCAAGAAUUAGAGGAGAGGCCUGUGCCCUUGCUGGAAUGGAGAAUGUGAAGCCCAGGUAAGUCCACCUGCCAGGAGAGCAAAAAUAACAGACAAUGGCAUUCUAGGCAGAGAAGAGGAUGGAUAUCUAUUGUGUACAGUUUUAUAGCAUAUAUAUGUAUAAUAAAGGAAAUAAAGGCGUAGAAGCAAGACGGAGCAUGGGGUGUUAGAAAACAGCACGGAAUCUGACAUAGCAGGCACCCAAAGUGAAUGUAAGGGCAAGAGCGGCCCCUGGAGGUGGGCAGGGCUAGGCCCUGAAGGUUCCGGUAGGCCUCUGUCUCAGGUGGGCUCCCCUACAGUCAGCCCCCGGAGACAAGGUGAGUGGACUAGGGACAGA